AGUGAACGCUGGCGGUAGGCCUAACACAUGCAAGUCGAACGGCAGCACAGUAAGAGCUUGCUCUUACGGGUGGCGAGUGGCGGACGGGUGAGGAAUACAUCGGAAUCUACUUUUUCGUGGGGGAUAACGUAGGGAAACUUACGCUAAUACCGCAUACGACCUACGGGUGAAAGCAGCGGAUCUUCGGACCUUGCGCGAUUGAAUGAGCCGAUGUCGGAUUAGCUAGUUGGCGGGGUAAAGGCCCACCAAGGCGACGAUCCGUAGCUGGUCUGAGAGGAUGAUCAGCCACACUGGAACUGAGACACGGUCCAGACUCCUACGGGAGGCAGCAGUGGGGAAUAUUGGACAAUGGGCGAAAGCCUGAUCCAGCCAUACCGCGUGGGUGAAGAAGGCCUUCGGGUUGUAAAGCCCUUUUGUUGGGAAAGAAAAGCAGCAGGUUAAUACCCCGCUGUUCUGACGGUACCAAAAGAAUAAGCACCGGCUAACUUCGUG
rnacentral:rRNA from 1 species